rnacentral:lncRNA from 1 species
AAGUACCAAAAGCCCUAAGGUUGCAAACGAUUACCCAUAACGACCGAUAUAGAUUCGGCUCGACGUGCUACUAAACCCUGAAUCCAAAGAUUGAUCACCUAACCAAUUCAAGGUCACAAGAUAAGAAAGGACGGUGCUCCUCUAACCCUGUAUUUGAGUGACUGUUACACAACAUUGGUGAUCAGUUAAUGGCAAACGAAAAGCUAUUCAGGUAGACAAUAGUCUGGCUCGAGUGGCUAGGUAUGUCCUAGUCACGCCCUACCUAGGGUUGAGGAACACGUGUUUGUCCAAUUUCGACAAAACUAAGAGGAUGUUACGAUCCCGCUAUAAAAAGAAUCUGAAUGCCCCAUCCACGUGUGGGGCCGUCGAGCUAUAAGUGAGGGAUCUUAUUUAAAGGAGGGACGACGAAAAUACACGUCUCAGAACAGAAGGGGUAGAUAAAUGUGGGGAACCGAGAACCACUUGCUCUCUAAGAAACCCAUGGAAAGUCAAGAAGUGAACGGAUGCAAAACCGCUUUACUAAAGAAAGUGGGUUCACUAAGAGGGGAGAGAAAAAGGCGGGCGACAAGAAGGCGGUCGCAGGAAGUAAGUAGAUGGACGGCUCUUCGACAGGAGGUAGUAAAAUUGCCAAACCUAAGAAGACCAUUUCUUUGCUGUCGCUCUAGCCCUACCGGGAGGGGGCUUAGCCGGGUCCAACAAACCUUAUGAGUGGGUCCCACGCACUCAGUCAAAGAGCACCCGACGAAAUGUAAGAUGGCUCCAUACCGGGUGGUAAAACACAAAUGGUAUGGGAAACUGUUCGGUUGCCACUGGAACCAAAAACCAGUGGUUAAGUGGAUCAAUCCAAAAGGAUUGAAUCAACUUAUUUAUUCUCAAUAGCUCAGCUCGAGGGGAAGACCCUCGAAGUAUGAGGGAAAAGACCAAUUGAUAAAGCACACAAUGCUAAAUUCAAAAAUUGGUUGGUACUUUUCCAGGAAAAGAACUACUCAUCCCUCUAAAGCCGAAGGAAAGACAGCGGACUAACGCAUCAACCUUUCCAGAAGCCCAGGAGAUAAGGAGUUAGCUCUAUGCAUUCCUCUAUUGAAGGUAAAGAAACUGAACAGUUUUUCAUANNNNNNNNNNNNNNNNNNNNNNNNNNNNNNNNNNNNNNNNNNNNNNNNNNNNNNNNNNNNNNNNNNNNNNNNNNNNNNNNNNNNNNNNNNNNNNNNNNNNNNNNNNNNNNNNNNNNNNNNNNNNNNNNNNNNNNNNNNNNNNNNNNNNNNNNNNNNNNNNNNNNNNNNNNNNNNNNNNNNNNNNNNNNNNNNNNNNNNNNNNNNNNNNNNNNNNNNNNNNNNNNNNNNNNNNNNNNNNNNNNNNNNNNNNNNNNNNNNNNNNNNNNNNNGGGGCUUACUUAGAUUGUUAGGUAUAGUAAUAUAGGCAUGAGGCAGGCCCUACCCAAUGAGUGACCUCGUAGCAAGCAUACAACCAAAGGAGACCCUGACUACAAGAAGGCCCUAUUCCAAAGGUGGGAAACCAGGUUACCCUUUUUCCUUCUCAAACAACGCGUUUGAUUUCCUUCCUUAUACCAAAUUCCAUCUUUCUCUUGCCGAUCACAUCACAUCCAAGGCAUUUCGUCAGAAUACAUCCUGUCUUUUCACCUUUGUAGUCCUAUGCAUAGUAAGUACUAUAGCCUCACUAGUCCUCGUCGAGGAAUCUCCUUGCCGCCCUAGAAGUUUGAGAUCGUGCCCGAACGUUUUGGAGUCUGUUCAGGAGCUCCUUCAGCGCCCGGGGAUUGACGUCGGACUGGAGUCGGCUCAACAUGAAAUCAAGCAUGGUGCGAGGCAGAUGGAGGGGAUUAUGGUUCCAAUUUGUUGGCAGGUGCUUUCGCUGUAAAAGCAAAGGAACUUUUCAAGAGUUUUGAUGAAUUGAAAACCGGUUCUACUUCGCUCUUGCUUCGUGGUCUUGAGCAAGGAACUACUCAGAUUCGCACCCUGAUGUUUAUUGGAAGGAAAAGCCAGAAAGCAAGGAGGUUUGGUUUACGUAUGGUGGAAGGUUACAUUUUCCAGUCGGAACGACGGAGCUCUAAAUAAAAGGUAUGAAAUCCAAUCCCUUAUCUUUCUUAAGCGUACGGAUGAAAGCCAAGAAUGAAGUCGUCUCAUCCCGUAUGGUAGCCUAUUCUUUACCUCUCGUUCCAGGGUUGGAUGCAACAUUUCUAUGUUAUAGAUAGGUGAGUUGAGCAAUACUUGUUUUCGAGGAUUUCCACAAGUCCGUCCGAGUUGAGGGGCUAGGGCUUGAAUCCGGUCGGUUGUCCAACAGUGCCGUAGUUGAAUAAGCAUUUACUUUAUUUACUUCUAGAAGGACUUGAAGUGAGACCAGAGAGAGAAGAGUUUUCCCGCAAACCAUAGCGACUAGAUAGUCUCAAAACAAAAGAGUUCUUUUUACAGUAGCGGGGUUGGGAAAGUAAGAAAAGUCAAGCCCGAUGAUUCUGUGGGAAGGGACGGAUUUAGAAUUCCUUUUUCCUUCCUUUUUACGCCACCUCCUCCCAAUCCUUGAAGAUAUGAAGCAAUAUUUUAUUAAGACUAAGUGAAGGUUGGUAUGGCCCAAUCCCAUCAUUUAAAUGAGAGUGGAUCGAGGGAAUGGAAUCUAGACUAUAGAUUGAACUAGAAAAAAAAUGCAAUCUAUUCAUUCAUUCAUCUUAUCUUCCUUUUUAGAAAGUAGCAAGCAGCAAAUAAAACGGCUGCAGCAAGAAGUUUCGCACUCUAACUCGAAAUGGAUUUCGCGCAUUGAAAGUGUCAUCCCUUGCUUUGUUCUAACCGCCCUUCCUUUAAGUUUCAGUAUUCGAAACUCUUCCUAGAAUUAGAUUGUUUAUUUAGUAUAUAAUAGGAGAAGAAGGGCUUCAUUGCCCCCAGUAAAUGCUUUCGAAGGAGAAAUUUACAUAAUUCUCUAUAUUUUUGGAAAGGAUAUACUGUAGGCAUCUCGAUAGUAAUGGUAAUGGUAGAUCCAAACUAAACCUUCCAAUUAAUCAAGUUAAAUGUAAUAUCAUUUUUCCGUUUUCGUCUACCAUUAACAACCAUAAAUCAUAAUAUAUAUGUCGGAAUUAUACUUAGAUCUUUAUUAUCUUCAAAUUUGAUCAUAACCUCUAUAGAAAUAAAAUGGAUUAGGGCGUGAAUUAGUAAGUUGACUGCGCAUGAGAACUAUAUUAUCGAAUAAUAUUAAUCCUAACCUCACAAGAGCCUGAAUAAUAAAUGUUGAACUUUUCCUGAUAGAAGUAAGGCUGCCAUAAUAUUAUUGAACAAUGAAUAUAAACUAAUACUACAAUAAUAUAUUAAUAUUAUUUAGUCAAGCCGGAAUAUUCCAAUAUAUUUUAGUCUAACAUUAUACGAAAGAUCUAUAAAUAAUUAUCACAUGGGAAUAAAGUGUUAGCCGUCAUUGCUAUAACCAGACAGCAGAGCGAAAUGUUGUCCAUUCUUGUUCUGAGGUUGUUAGCUUCCUCCGAUGGAACCAUUUGUACUCUCUGCCGGAAUCUGUAGACAUAGUUUCUGGGUGUCUUUAGAAACUGAUCGACAUAGUUGUCACACACAAACCUGCGCAACGGGUUUGGAGUAAAAGAAUCUCCUGCGGUCACACACAUCAUCUCGAGCGCGGAAUCUACUACUCUAACAAGAUACUCGGCUCGGGUAAAUCAUGCUUUUGUUAUGCGAGGAAAGUGAAAGGAAAGAGGGAAAGGGAGACACUGGGCAAUCCGGAAUCGAUGAAAUCACUGUUUUUUCGCCUUGUAAUAUGUCCGGUUACAUUCCAAAGAUGAAUCAGACGAGGAGAUAGAUAAGCGCUAUGGCGGACACAUGAAAUAAGAAUUUGAAAAGUAAUGAUCAACUUUAUGGAUCCAUAGGUAGAUUCACUUGUGAAGCUAUGGGAUGGGACAAGAUUCAAAAGUACCAAAAGUAAGUUAAGUGGGACACUGAGUUCAUUGCUGCGAUCGAGGGUCCAAAGCCAGCCAAUUUGAUGACCGCGUAGGAACGGGUUCCGAAUGCUCACAAUAAUGUAGUUGGAAAUGACAAAAGGCUCCUAAAUUGAUACCUAAUAAUAGCUUAGCAGCUCCUUCGUUUUACUAAAGAGCCAAAUUCAGACAAGCAACUCGGAAGGAGGAAUGUGUUGAGAUGCCUAUGCCUAAGAAAGAUAAGCGAAGGAUGUAUGAUAGCCGAGAGGAUGUCGGUAAACAACGGAGUUUAAGGAGUUGUUUUUGAAUUUGGCAUGGCAUAUUUCAUUUUUUUAAUGAGAACGUCGUCUCCUUGCUUACCCGCCUGGCCAAUGGAAGGAAUUAAUUACCUUGGUCAGUCAGCGAAAGAAAGAAUCUCACCAGUUCAUCAUCCCAAUCCUUCCUAUUAGUUUCAUUAAUUUAUUCAGCCCCAGAGUGUUGGCAAUCAAGGUCCAAGAAAGAAUCCCAAGUCUAUCCUAUCUCGCCACGGUCGAAAGCACAAUCCCUUUCUCUUCCUAUACCAAAAUCGUCGUUUCAUUCCUCCGCAACUUCUAUCGCGGACAUGAUCCAAUCUACCUUGCAACACAGAUUAAGAUAUAACUUAAGGCUUUCCCAAGCUGGCGCAUAACCUCUGGUAGAGGCAUUCACCCAGAGACAGAGAAGUGGGAAACCGCGGAUGAAAAGAAUACCGAGGUCUUUGAUAGCAAACUUCUACGCGAGCUUUCUAACUAAAAGGAAUCUCUUAUUCAUAUGGCAUAAAAUGGAAAAACUUGAUGGAGAUUUCUUCUCAAUUUCCAUGGUACAGUCCCUUUGCAUGCUACAGUUCCAUUACUUACUACCUGAAUUUGCUAUAUACGAAAUUCUGACAUCUACGGUACUUGUCGUCUACUUCUGGUGGAAGCAAUUCCAAAGGUGAAUAUAAUACUGAGCCAAAUAGUAAUGAGGGGAAUGCAAAAUCUAGCAAAGGUAAGAAGGGUCAAGGAAGAAUAGCAGUGACGAACCUGGUCCUUAGUUUCCUCCAACUGAUUCCUGUUUUUUUGAGCCUUUUUCAGUAAGUCCUUAAUAGCGAAAAAUGCUUUGACUCUAAGGGUUACCUUGGUACCUUUAUUCGGAUAUGCUUCUUUUCAGACAGGAGGGGCAGAUUGACAUUCAUGCAAUGGCACAUGGAUUCUAUUGAGAAGGGCUGGUUGCUCUCGACGACAGGGAGGGUUUGAAUGAGAUGCUGGGAGAUGGGAGUUAUUGGUGGAUUGAGAGGGGAGCAGAUGCGUGGGCUAGUUCAAUCUUUUUGCUCUUGCCUUCCUAGCCUUAUGGACAGGCGUCCUCUGGCCUAGUCCUGAAAGUCUUCCCGCAGCCUUCCUUGCCCUCAUUGCCCGGCACACCUCGGAAGGCAUACCAUGGAACCAAUUCAUUCAUCUGCCCUCUUCGCGAUAAAGCUUUGCCUUACUUUGCUUGCUGGCUCUAAGCCCACCACCUUUACUACACUACACCCUCUCACCGCUCCUAUUCGGCCUGAAAGGCUUCUAACUUCCCCAAAACCUUACUUAUUCAGGGCAAGAUUCGGAACUUAGGGUCACUGCCUUUCAUCCGCCUUUCUCUCAUAUGCUUAGAACCUAUCCAUAGAAAUGGAAUUCAAAACUUCGGAAUAGUUUCGAGGAGAGCCGAGAGGACACGUUCAAGGAGUAGUGUAAAGUAGCAGACAGAGGGGCGCUCCCGCUUAGGCAUUAGGCAUUAGGCACGAGAAAGGACAUCGUUCUCGGCUGUCCCUUCCUUCCCGGAAAAAGGCUCUCUUGCUUCUUUUGCUUCCCCACCCGGCCUCUAUUCUAGAUUCACCGUCUUCGGAUGCAUCAGUUUAUUAUGCUUAUGCCUAAUCUUAAUACUGGCUAGUUACUUCAAUUACCUUACCCCACCGCCCCUCCUUUUAAGGAGGUUUCAGAGCACCCAGUCACAGCUCGUCACAAGAAAGGAUUGAUGGUCGAGUCCCCGUGCAUGAAGUCAGUGGAUUAUAGUGAACUGACCAUACUACAAAUCGACAUACUUGAGGAAGCUUCUUACUAAACCAAAGAAAGGGCAGCUCCAGUUGUGUUGUCGAUUCCCUUCUCCCGAGAGCUUUCACACUCUGGGAUGGGAGUCCCUUCCAAGACUUGACCAAAAGCUCCCCACAAUUUCUUGAUUUGAAGCAGUUCGGAGGCCUUUCCUAGUUACGAUUCGCCCUCGUCUGUCACUAUAGAUGUUCUAGCUUUAGUCUUUAGUGUCAUUUCGAGUUAUGCAUUUGGAAUGCUCCCCUUCCAAGCAAACUAAACUAACCUUGCUAAGUGCUAGCCAGGUGAAAGUGCUUUUCGCUAGUAGUUUUGGUGUUCUCUUCCCUUUAAUCCAAUUGAAUCAAUCGAUCAGAAGAACAACAACAAGAAGGCACUGUACUUUUAAUAGGCCCUACUUCCGAGACCUCUAUCUCUAUUUAUUUUCAUUCUUCCCUUUGGUCAGAUACUAGAAUAUAGUAUUUUUAUUGGACAUCCUCCUCACUAUUGAAAAUUAGGGAAAACCGGAUCAGUAAACUAUUGCAUCUAAGGGAACAGAGCAGCAGCCUAGAGAUAAGUAGGAAUUCAGGUUAGCUUUUCUGUUUUCCGAAUCUUACCCACCUGAGAGUCCUAGUCUCGAAAGGGCACCUUGGCCAUCCAGCCUUAUUGCAGAAUUGAUCCAAAAGUUGUGAGCCGAUAGAAGUGGAAAGAUAGUAGGUUUCAGAAAGGAAAUAUUCCAAUGGUUAGAUUACCUCCAUCUCGGUCAACGAUGGGGAUUUGUGAAGGUAUCAAACUUAAGCUAUCUAUAGAAUGACAAUUUUUGAUGUAGCUUCACGUCUACCUAUACCAAAGGGUUUCUAUAGUAUGCCGAACUAGUGAUAGUACCAAAUGGUCAAUGCCUACCUCAAAGGUUUGCAUCUAUAGAGUUACGAAUUGCCUACUGUGAGUGUUCCUUCUACCCCAAUGGUCUACCAAAACAGAAAUGCCUUCCAUAAGAUGAGGAAAUCAUUUUUCUACCUUCUGCCUCUGAGGUUUCCCUUCUCUUCCAGCAUUCUUGAAACCUGACAAUCAAACUAUUGCAUAUGGAGGACAAGUCAAAAGAAGAUUCAUUCCUUCAUUACGGCGGUUGAGGGUACCUGCCGUUCAGAGAUGCUAUCAGAGUAGGAAAGUUAGCCAAGUUAUCCUUCCUAGUUUAGAUAAAGCACCCCAAUCAUACCAGACGCAACCCGAUCAUUGUAUACAUAACAUAGUGGAAUUUGAGUAAAUUCUCUCUGCCUUUCCCAUUUCCAAUUCAAAAACCACUAGGCAUAGAAGGAAAUCUUUCCCGGUAGAAGGUUCUCAGUAAUCAGCAGUGGGAAUAAGCCCUUCCAGUCUUUUUCGCCUAAGAAGGUUUUGGAGGAGGAACCUAUGGGAACGGCAGUCCUGCAUCGAGAUUAUUAGUUGCUUAUUCCCAAUGAUAAUAUGUAUAUACACAUUACAUGUCCAAAUGACUGCUCCUCCAAAAUAUCUUCAGGUAGAAUGAACCAUGAUUGAAGAUAGGAUGAAAACCAGGGCUUUAAUAUAAUUUUACGAUCAAUUAUAGGUAGAUUUGGUAAUCCCAUCAUGAUCCGAUAAUAUAGAUAAGGAUUACUUUAAUCUCACAGGAUUAUUUUACGUACAUAUUAUAGGAUUAUUUUACGUGCAUAUUAUCAUGGUCAUAAAGUAUAUUACUCAAACUUUGACAAAGGUACUAGGGACAUUUCCUCCAUUUAUAUUCGUAAGAAAGAACUCCCACUAUUCGUUUGUAUCAGCCUUUAGUGGGUCUUGGUGAAUCAAAAAAAGGCGUAGAUAAUGUGCAUUGCUUUUGAGUUCGAUUUGAACUAACUAGUUUCCACGGUUCUCCAGGAACCUACCAUUUGUUUGGAGUAUAGCCAAGUGGUAAGGCAUCAGUUUUUGGUAUCGGCAUGCAAAGGUUCGAAUCCUUUUACUCCAGAUUAUGAAGACCCAAUCGGAUUUGUCAAGAACGAGCUAACAACUACAGGGGAAGCGGCUCAGUAUCAACAUACCACCUGCCUAUCUUAUCAAUGACAAUCAUCCGUUUGGAUGAGGCCAUUCUAAGGGUUGUUUAGGAUUGGUAUAUGCUCUCUUCCCACGGAGUUCUUGUCCCCAUGACCAGUAUCAGCAGAGGCAAGACCUAUAAGCAUCAAGCCAUCCAAGAAGUAGAAGUUGGUAAAGAUAGCACAAACAAAAGAAGAAAGGAACUUGGUUGGUGAUCUUACAUAUGGGAGGCCUUCUAUAGAGUGAGGCAAAUAGCGAUUUUGCUAUAGAUACUGGGAUCAGAAAAUGGUAGUGGUGAUUGUGAUUCUUCGUGAGACCCACUUAAGAAAUAAUUUUCAUCUGGGUAACAAUAGAUUAACUACCUAAUGAAUUGGGUAGAUCAUGAAUGCAAGGGACAGCAUUUCCAACUCAAUAGGCAAAUUCCUACCGGCCAGAAUCUGGAGAAGAACAAAAAAAGAAUGGUUCCGCUUACUCACAACUCAGAGGGGAUACCGCUUACUACUCAAAUCCAAGGAAUUGCAAAAGUUGUGUUCUUAUAUGCAAGAAUAAGACUUUGAAAGAACAAAGAAGUUUGGAUCCGCAAAAGUAUGCUUAGGCAGUUCCUUCACUGAGCACAACAGAAUGAAGAGGAAUUUGUUUCAUUUCAAAUACUUCUUAUUGAAAAGAGGGAAGGAGAAAAAUGGAAAUCUCCUACUCGAACAAUAAGUCCUUUUGUAGAAAAGUCUUCUUUAUAUAGUAAUUCGACCUAUUGCUCCGGAUCCCCGUUUACUAGGAAGAUAAGAAUCAAAAGGAUCAAACUACCUACUAAUUAUUCGGAGGUGAAUCAUAGAACACUAAAAGCUCUGGAAUCUUAUGGGCCUAACAUAGGUCACAUCCCUCACGACAUAAGAUUAAAAAAUCCAAACCUUCCUCUUCGGAGCGGAAACGGACGUGGACAGAACAUAUAAAAAAAGAUCGGCCUAGUCGCUCAUAGGGACAUAUCUAUCCGGAUAGAGGAUAGUCUAGAUCAAUUUUGAGAAAAAUCUCUCUAUAUAUAGAUAGGUAUCUCUGUGGAUAGAGAUAAAGAUAGGGAUCCCUAUAAAUCGAAAUAUAUGGAAAAAGUGCACUUUUUGACUAAUACUACUAUUUCUUAGACUUUUUCAAGGAAACAUCGUUUUUUCGAUUUUGACUGAAUUGGUCGGAGCGUAGACGAGCAAGCAGAGCCUAGGAAAGAGGUCAGAUCGUCAUAGAGCAGUCGACUAUAAGUAUAAGACUGCUGGCCUGAGAGAAGGCAAUCUCUCUCGGGAAACAUGGCCCCAUUUCUCUUCUUUCUUUUCACACGGGCAACAAUUGGGAAUAAAACAGACCAUGAACAUGAGUUUAAAAUGUAAAAAAAGGGAAGAGUGCAUUCUCCACUUUCUUAUCUCGAAAAUGCGUAAUAUAGUGAUGUCAUGUGUCUAUUUCUCUGAAAAGGUGGAUCGGCCCUUAGGGCAAAUAGUAGUACCAGGUUCCAUUGUGGAACGGUCGUUUGCCGAUGACCUUUGUCCGCUGUAGUACGAGUGACUGGCGCAUCGCAUCCAAUCUCUCAUGUCAAUGAGUCAGUUAGAAAACAGCUCCAAAUGAAUCAGUGAUUUCCCCUUUAUUUCCUCAGAGCACAAGGGGAAACAAGAUUGAGAAUGAAUUAAAACACAUCAAAUGUUUCAUUUUGCGUAUUAUCAGUGGUCAGCUCUGAUACAAACUAGGGGAAAAAGAACCUGGAACGCCUUCUUUAAGGCGCUACUAUUUCUAGCGGCAUAGGUGCUUUAUCACAAUAUGAAAGAUGUACAUACGAGGACUACGAUUCCUAUUUAGAGAUAUUCCUACGAGCGAUAGACGUAGUAAGGAAAUUACGUACGCCAAUAACAAAUACGAAUACGAAUUACGCCUACGAGCCUACGCAAUGGCAUGUUUCGGCGUAUAAAACUAAGAACGAGAAUAGCCUACUGCCUCCACUCGGAAAAGGCAAAGGUAUCCUUCCUUUUCAGCUUUGAAGUUGCAAACCGGCAGACCUUACUUUCUAAAAAAGACAGAAGUACGGAAACUGAUCCUAUUUCAGAUCUAGAAUUGCAUUCAAACUUAGGCCGUUUUGAAUUGACAUAGCAUGACCUGUGAACUCUCAGCGCGUACAACAGUUGCUUCGACAAACAUUCGAUAGACUAGCUUUCGAAGUGCCACGAUCCUAUUGAGUAAAAUCAUCCCCUGGGGAUAACGGAGUGCAAGGCUACCCACCUUACCACACUUUCCCUGAAUGUAAGUUGCUCAGUCAACCAGGAAGAUCAUGGCAGCUAGACUAAUUUGAGAUUAGAUCAGUGUCAUUUGUAGCUCCCUGGUAAUGAACUAAAAAAGAGACUGCUCACCGCUGAGAACAAGACGGCACAGGUUGUGGUUCUUCUCCAGUGUAGGCUAGCUGCUGGAACCCACCGUGUUCAAAUCCGAGUUAGGAAAUUAGACUCUGCGAUAUCGACCGACGCAACGCUAUCGUGAUAAGCAUAGCCUUCGCCCCGCAGAGUGCUAUAUCAAUGGUUCACCAGGCUCAGUUCAUUAAUGGCUUAGGGCCGGUCUUCAGUAAGUCAAUCACCAUCGGGUGGAGGGGAAAGCCCUACGUCAAGGUUAAUGGAUUCACCUACCCCAGUCUCAGAACUUUCUAGACUUUCUUACCUGUGUUCUUCUCAACUAAGAGAAGGGCGUGCAUCUACAUCAGUGGUAUUAUCUUCCUUUUUCUUUUUGCAUCUUUGAAUCCUGGUGUGUUGGUUAGUACCGAAGCCUCUUGGCUAGUACAGAGUUGUGGUUUGAUAUAGCUACUAGAGAACCUGGAGGCACUCUCUAAAAAUAAGUAUUCUUCAUAUGACAUGUGAAUAGACAACUCCUGGUAUGCUCAUUUCAUUUCUCUUGGACCUAGAUCUUCACUUUCAAAAGUCCAGAAUUGAUGUAUCAAAGGCAUUUCAAAGGAACAGAGGGUCCAUCUUUGAAGUGAGAGACAAUUGGUUUCAACUGUGUCGUAGGGGUUGUAUUCUAAGACCUGCCAGGCGGGAGGAACCACAGUCUUGGGUAUUGAGCAUGUGAAUCAUGUUAUUUUGUAGGAAUAGAUAUUCUCAGCCAUCAUAUCUUGUUCACCCUUGGCCAUAUCUCCUUCCGAGAAUGAGUUGGUUUGGGGAGAUCAUUAGGUUACUGAGAUCGAAGUAGUGAGGCUGCUUGAGUGCCAUCGAAACCCAUUUGAAAUUGCAAUGACAUAUUGAAGUAGUAGUUCGUUCAGCACCCGAUUAGGUAUCUGGAAAUAGUUCCUUAGCUCUUUUCUAGUUCGUUAAUGACCUCAGCGGUUGAAAUGGAAUUGGAUCCCAGCUUGUUAGUUAAUAGAAUCUAAAUGAGAUUGAAUGGAAAUGUUGGUAAACCAAGGGGUGCAUCAUACUUUUCAACAGAUGUUGGGGUUCCUAAACCAUAAGGAUACUCUUUUCAUAGAACAAGGCCUGCCAAUCGAUCUCCUAGGCUAUAAUCCAAGGGAUAGCUUAACAUGCAUCUCCUAGAUGGAAGUGUGCUACAAUAACUUUGAGCUCCUAUAGUCUUUGAUCCUUGAUCUGAAGAGGUAGGCAGCUAUGAUAAAGAAGCCAAGGGAUGAGUGAUUGUGGUUGGCGUGCCACAUGGAAACUAGAUAGGUGGAAGCUAUUUUAGACGACCUUGCGGGUCAUCCUAACAUUGAAAUGAAGCUAUUCGAGCAGACAGUGAAUAAAGCUAUGAAUGGGGGUAGCUUUACAAGGCAUAAUGCCGGUGUGCACUUUUCUUUUCUCAAACUGUGGUUGAUCCUCUCUAAAUCAGAGGUCAACAUUUCUUUGCAAUGAACAUUUAUUAGGUCUGGAGACCUUGUUAGGUGCACUCGUAGGUGAGCUGAAAGCGAGGAUUCAUGCGUUCUUUCUUCUCAAGAGUACGGAAUGAUUGCUCGGUAUGAUGUAGAUUCUUAGUAUGGGUCAAGUCUCUGUGCUUAAGUGUUAUCCCUGGAUCGGUAUGCUGACACACACAGUACUCGAGGAUUUAUAACAGAAGUAAAUCACAUGUAUAAAUAACGUAAAUAUUAUUACCUCAAUCCAAAUAGCGGAAGUAACAAGGUUGUGGAUUCCCAUCAACACCAACGACAAAGUUGAGUGUAGAAAUCGUAACCCUAACGUAUCACUUACUCGUCGUCUGAAAAGACUGCAACAUGAAACGUUGCAGCCCGAAAAAGGGUCAGCACAUGGAAUAUGCUGGCAAUGUAACACAUAGAGAGUAAUGAAUGAAUAAUCCUAUACUACAUGCAUAUAUGGCUGGUGGAAAGCUCUAUGGUUAUAAUGUUUUUGCGAAAAGCCAAUAUUUCCCUACUGCAAAGGAAUAAAUUCAUUUAACUAUCAUGGUGGUUGUUAAACAUUGAGAAUGGUUGACAGCAUUCUCAAUCCGAAUUAAAAUUACUCAUUAACCCAACAAAAUUAAUUAAAGUAACAUGAUGAGAUCAACAGGAUAAUCCAAGAACUAGAUACUCAAGAUGUCCAUAUCCGGGGACACGGCUGACCAUGAUUAGUUUAUACACUCUGUAGAGGUUUGCGCACUUUUCCCCACAAGACUCGAUCUCCUCCAUUAGAUUUCUCGCACCACAUGAUGUUUGAUAAACGGAUGAUCGAGACAUAGUCUUUCAGAAGCACUAGCACCUUACAUGUGGGUAGACCGGUACGCCUACUUUCCCCUGCAUCUGCUAGUCUACCCGUAAGAGUUCGCACAACUUAAUCAACUAUGCCAGAGCCCAUAAUGGCUUGUGGCUGCACACGGAAGUUUCUAGUUUGAAUAAUCUCAUGAUCCCUUUGAGCCUGGGUGGCGGUCCGAAGAAAUACAGGCAAGUCCUGAUAGAAACCAGGUGCCUCAAUCCACCCAGAUGUGUGUUUAAUUUGCCACCUUAAAUAAACCAUUAAUUAUCAAACUCACAUCUAUCAUGGAUACACUCACCCAAUCCACGUCUACUAGCAUAGCAUGGCAUAAAAAGCAAACGUAGAAGUAACUCCCAAGGGUUUGAUAAUAAAACAGGUAAUAGGUACUACCUCAAUCUACUUCCCAAGACCCUCAAUUUAAUUAGAUCCUAAUCAUGCAAUGUUUGAGGAUAAAUCUAUGCAUAAAACCUGGGUAGUAGAAAAGGUAUGGUCAAAGUGUUACUUGCCUGCAAUGUUGAUGAAGAUGAUUCGCACUCAAAACUCUUGAUAGUUCUACUCGUCACACUCCAGUCAAUCUAUCGUGAGCAAGCAAUAGUAACCACACAUAAGCAAUCACUCAAAGGUUCAGAGAGAAGGAAGAGAACAACUCGGAAAAUCUCAAAACCAAGCAAAUAACUCUUGCAGCAUAAAGUAAUUUCUAACAGUACCAAAAUUAUGUGAAUUUGGCCUUAUCAGAAAUUUUAGGUCAAGGGCUUUGAUUUGCAAAAAGAAUCAACUCAAACGGAGUUAUAAAACUCAAGUUAUGAUCAAACGAAGUUCAAAUGCUAAACUGUUUGAAAUUCAAAUUUUAAACUUUCAAAAACAUGUUUAAGUUGUUUUACUGGAUAGAGGGGAUCAUAACGAAGAAGUGGGCGUUGGUUUCGUUGGAUUCCGACUAUCGAGUGAAAAGUAGUGAUUGAUUUAAGAACAGGGACUAAUCUGUAAAUAAAAUAUUCACAGACGGGUCCCUGGCCGAAAUAAACAGAAAUCAGAAAGGCUAAAUAAUGAACGUUCAUUUAUAAGAUCUAAACAGUGGUCGUUCGCUGUUUACUAAAACCUAAAAAAAUAGAUCUAGUCUAGGGUUUAAGAAAAACCGAUCUUAAAAGAAAAACUGAAUCAGACCGGGGUCGGUUUUAUACCGGUUGGCAGUGGUUUUCGACGAAGAACCGGCGACGGCGGUUACUCCGGCGAAACGAGACGGCGGUGGCGGCUCGGGUCCGGCCGGGGCAGCAGCUCCGGUGGCCCUCCGACUCGGCGGAGUGAACGGGGGGAUGCGGCGCAGGACGGCGGUGAGGUGGGUGGUGGCUGCGGCGGUGGUGCAGCGCGGCAGCGGCUGCAGUUGGCAUCGGCGGCGGUGGCUACCGAUGGCGGCAGCGGCGGAUCUGGCGAGGGGCGGCGGCGGCGGCGAAAACGGGACCCAGGGGCCCCCAGGGUGGCCUUUUAUGGAGGAGGGGAGGCGCGGUGGCGUGGGGAAGGGGCGGCAGGUGGCGGGGCGGCGCCGGACUCCGGGAGGAGUCCCGGUCGGGGACGACGGGUGAGGCGGCGCGGAGCUGGGCCUUGGCCUGGCUUCGGCUGGGCCGGCCCAGUUCGGCGGAAGAAGUUUUUUUUUAAACAAAUUUUCACAAAAUAAAAUAAACCAAAAAUAAAUAAAAAUAUACUGUAGGCAUAUAAUAUAUCAAAAUUUUCAGAAAAAGAUUUCCUAUAGCGUGAACAUUAUUGUAGCUUCAAAUAAAAUCUACAAAAAUUCAAAUAAUUCAAACAGUGCUACUGUUCUAAUAAAAUCAUUUUAAAAAAUACCAAAAUUAAUUCAAAUUUAUUUCUCUCCAAUUUUCUGAUGUAGGGAAUCAUGUUACCCUAUUUUCCAUAUAUUUUAUUUUUGGAGAAAAAUAAUUUGAAUAAAACUCAAAUAACUCCAAAGUGAAAAUAAAUUCAAAAGAACUUUGAAUUUAAUUCUUUGAAACUCCCAACUCAUAUUUCAUAUGUUUUGAAGAAGUCAUUUUAUCUUCGCUAGUGAAAAUCAUUGAGUUGCAUAAAGUUCCUGGGUUGGAAAUAUUUUCCAAAUGAAAUUCAAAUAUUUUCAACACCCCUUGUCAUUUAAAUAAAUGGAAGAAGUCAUGCCAUCUUCUCUACAGGGUUUUGUGGUGAAAAGAAUUUGAAUUCAUGAAGAUCAAAAAAAAGAAAAUGAAAGUUUGGGAAAGUCCUUUUAUUCCCUCUCAUUUAACUUUCAAAAAGUUUCGAAUUCACUCACUUUCAGUCUAUCAAUCAAACAAUCAAUCAAAACUAUCUAUUUGUUUAUAACAUUCCAUAAUUUAGAAUUUUGGGAUGUUACAAACCUACCACCCUUAAAAUGAAUCUCGUCCUCGAGAUUCGGAGAUGCUAGCAUGAAAUAGGUUAGGGUUUGGGGGUCUUCUCAAAAUCCAUCGGUCAUCAGGGGUCUCGGUUGCUACCACCCUUAGAAGCAUUCUUAUGGUUCCAUCAAAAGUCAUAUACUCCAUCCUUUUGUUGAUAGGGUCGGUCUUCUCAGAUCUUCGGUAUAAUUCCUCCUCUGGCUCUUCCGGUACUGGCAUAACCUUUUCCUCAAUACUUUUGUCCUUUCCUCUUGGUAAGGUUAUUCCGAGACUGGGUCUUCUUAGCUGACGGGUCUGGCGCCAAUAACAGCUAUCGAUAUCUCAUGGUGGUCAACCAUUUAUGGUUUCUCCUGCAGAAAACGGGUCUGGGUGGAACCUCACCGUAUGACCUACGAUUGGCAACAACCGCCUUGUAUAAGGGAAGAAUACUUAUACCAUUCUAAGGUUCAAACAAGGUUUAAUAUCAUCGUCUCUCUUCUAUAGGUAAGUCACUCAGAUUUACCAUCCACAUAUCAAGGCGAAUAAUAAGAGUAAGUCGGUAUGGUGAUCAAUCCAUCCCGCACCCAAAUCAUUAUCUUGUAUAUGGUUUAGUGAAUCUCGCAUUCUAACACUCGGUCAUCCUCACAAGCAUUGCAGAAUUUCUCUUGUCAACGAACCAAGUUCGGAUAAAUCCAUUGAUUCUGCAAGCCAAACAAACAUCUAUCGUUCCUUCACAACUCUCAGGUUUUGAGUUGCUCCUAUAAAAUUGUCGGUUGAUAAAGUCGUAACUUCUUCCGGGGUUUUUCCUUCAGCAAGAGUGUGCUUGCUUCUUGGCAGGUCCUGGGGCCUGUGGGUUAUGGCCCAUCACAUCACUUGUAAACAUUGAACUUAUCAUCGAGCAACUGAUCAUUAUUCCAACUUCCAACUUCCUAGUAUUCUUAAACCCAUCCAAUUGUAUUGUCUCCCUUCCUUAUGUUGGUAUCAAACUAAAACGUGAUUACUCAGACUCAUCAUGGAAUUUCCAUUGAUCCAUAUUUCCAACAUCAUACCUCCUUUAUAUCCAAUAGUAAUCCAUCUCUUCAACCUCAUGGGAUAUCCCACAUACCGAGAUAAAAACUUAUACUUAUGAAGUCCAUACUCCACUUUGUGGAACAUCAUUAUCCCUUCCAGGGUCAAGCGUCCUUACAGGGGAAUAUUGGCCAUCUCUCCAUGGCACUUCUUCAAUUGGGAAACGUGAAACACAUCAUGAACUCCUGACAGUGCUUCGGAUGACUCCAACUUGUUGGCCACUUCUCCCAUACGCUCCAAAACUCGGUAUGGUCCUACAAAUCUCGGGGCUAACUUUCCCUUAACUCCAAAUCGUUUAACUCCUCGCAGAGGGGACACACGAAGACAUGCUCUAUCUCCAAUUUCAUAGACUACCUCCUUGCAUUUUUGAGUCUGCAAUAUUCUUCUGCCUGGACUGAGCUACCUUCAGUCUAUCUCGAAUCAACUUAACAUUCUCUUCCGACUCCUUGAUCACAUUUUGUCCAAAAAAUAGACGGUCUCCAACUUCAUCCCUUGUCAACGGUUUCUGGCUCCUUCUCCCAUACAAAGCUUCAAAAGGGGCCAUCUUCAAACUAGCUUGGUAACUGUUGUUGUAUGAGAAAUCUGCGUAAGGUAGAUUAUCAUCCCUACUAGAUCCAAAAUUUAGUGCACACGCUCUCAACAUGUCCUCCAGAUUCUAAUUGACUCUCCCGGUCUAUCCAUCUGUCUGCGGAUGAGGUAAACUGUGUUCCUCUAUCUGAUACGAUGGUCCUCGGAACUCCAUGCAGACAUACGAUCCUGGUCAAAAAUAUCUUGGCCAACUUCGCACUUGUAUAGGUGGUUUUCAUUGGGAUAAAAUGAGCCACUUUGGUCAAGCGAGUCAACUACUACCCAGAUAGAAUCAUAUCCCGUUCGGGUUCUGGGAAAUCCGGUAAUGAAAUCCAUGCCAAGCUUAUUCCACUUCCAUUCGGGUAUCGGCAUAGGCUGUAGUAAUCUGGCUGGCUUCUGAUGCUCUGCUUUUACUCCCUCUAGCAUACAUCACAUACGGCUACAUACUCGACAAUAUCCUUCUUCAUACCAGUCCACCAGAAAUGCUCCUUCAAAUCCAAAUACAUCUUGGUGUUUCCAGGGUGAAUCGAGUUGGUGAGUCAUGAGCCUCCUGAAGUAUUAACUUCCUAAUCUCUGCAUUAUUGGGUAUAUGUACACUGUCCUCAAACCAUAAGGUGUCGUGCUUAUUUUUACGAAAACCUUUGGCCUUCCCUUUGCUCAUUUUCUCCUUUAUCUCAGCAAUCUCUUUAUCAUCCUUCUAAGCUUCACGGAUCUUUUCCAACAAUGUAGACUGAACUUCCAUUGCUGCAACAAAACCUUUGGGAACAAUCUCCAACCGAAGUACCCUGAGAUCCUCGGCUAACUCCUUUAGUAAUCCCCCACUUAUGAGGGUAUUCAUCCUGGUGUUCUUUAUGGUUGUGUCCUAUUUCUCCACAAAGCUUGCAUGCACUUUCUCCAUAUCAUUUCCAUAAGGCUUCAACUUCUGGGACACAAAUCGAGACUUUAGCAAGGUCAACUUAAAUUCCUUCCAAGUGGUUACUCCUUGCCAUCCAUUGAUGUUUUGGUACAUCCUCCACCAAGUAGCAGCAACUCUUUUCAAAGCAUUGAAGAGCAUGCUGGGCCAUAUCAUUUCCGACUGCAUGGUUAUUCUUCAUGUGAUCCUCCAUGUUCUGAAUCCAUCGGUCCGUCUCCAAUUGACUCAUCGGUCCAGACAAUACAAGCUCAUCUCCAUUCAUCCUCUAUGGGGUCCAUGGGUUUUGGGGUGGGAUAAGAGAGAUAGAGAGGGACGCACACAAUACAAACAAAAGUUUUGAAAAGGCAGAUUUUAUUGUGGCUGUCGGAAAAACAACAAACAAAUGACAGCUCACAAUCGUCGCAUCUAACGUAAGUAUAUCACAGGGGUUUGGUCUUCUAAUGAUCAAUAAAUCUUCAACGUCACCAAACUCUUCAAGUCUUGUUCAUGUCUCCGAUAGAUUCUUCUGAUCAUGCUUUUCCUUCUCAAGUUCUUUUGCCAGAUCAUCUCUAUUGACGUGAAGUCUCUCAUGACAUCCUUUAAUAUUAUUGGAGUUCGUUCCAAACUUCUGGGUUUCAACAUCCUUGGUAUGAGCCAUGGUCCUACUGUCCUUCAGUUCCUGAGUUCUUCACGAAUUGCCUCCUUGUCAAAUAUGACUUCCUAAAGUCCAUCUUAAAAUCCUUGAUGUUAUACUCCAGAUCCUGGCGAUACACUAGCUAAGGUUAAAACUACAUCCUUUGCUGAUGGGUGCUCCAUCAGCCUUCUACCAUCCAAUCCUUCCAAAGAAGUGCAUGCUUAACUCAGCAUGGUGGCAAUAGCAUAAGAGGGCGAUAACAUCUUGGAUAGCCGUGCUUCUGCUCUUGUCAUUUCCAUGAGCUAUCAUUCCAUAGUUGAUAUCUCCUGCCUCAGGGUUUUCUUGACAAAACAUUGAGUUCUAAUGCUCCAUGUUCAGGUCUUUCUCCGAUACACCUUGAUCUCGGGUAUUGACAACUUCCUUAGUCUGUCAAAUUCCAUAAGCGUAACCUUCCUAGGUCAUAAAAAUCUGGGAAUUCUUCAGAGCAUUUAAAUUCUCCUAGUCUUCGGAGUCUUCAACUGUUGUAGUUUCCAUUAUCAUAAUGUAUGGUAAAAUCCUCUUCAUUCCGAAUGGUCUUAGUUGCCCGAUAUCUUGUCUCCUUGGAGUGGUCUCAUCGGUCGAAUCUUUGAGUGGUCAAAAGGGAAAAGGGGUAUGGUCUCACUAAAAGGGAAUAUUUGAAUAAGCUCAGAAGAGAAGAGAGGUAAAAGAUCUUUUUGAAAAUGAAGUUGUAGAGAAAAUCCUUUCCUAUGGGCUUGCCAGUAUCUAGGGUCACGUCCUACAGUCAACCUGGCUCUGAUACCAUCUUGUAGCGACCCGACCCGAAUGGGUCAAGUCUCUGUGCUUAAGUGUCAUCCCUGGAUCGGUAUGCUGCCACACACAGUACUCGAGGAUUUAUAACAGAGGUAAUCACAUGUAUAAAUAACGUAAAUACUAUUACCUCAAUCCAAAUAGCGGAAGUAACAAGGUUGUGGAUUCCCAUCAACACCAACGGCAAAGUUGAGUGUAGAAAUCGUAACCCUAACGUAUCACUUACUCGUCGUCUGAAAAGUCUGCAACAUGAAACGUUGCAGCCCGAAAAUGGGUCAGCACAUGGAAUAUGCUGGCAAUGUAACACAUAGAGAGUAAUGAAUGAAUAAGCCUAUACUACAUGCAUAUAUGGCUGGUGGAAAGCUCUAUGGUUAUAAUGUUUUUGCGAAAAGCCAAUUUUUCCCUACUGCAAAGGAAUAAAUUCAUUUAACUAUCAUGGUGGUUGUUAAACAUUUAGAAUGGUUGACAGCAUUCUCAGUCCCAAUUAAAAGUACUCAUUAACCCAACAAAAUUAAUUAAAGUAACAUGAUGAGAUCAACAGGAUAAUCCAAGAACUAGAUACUCAAGAUGUCCAUAACCGGGGACACGGCUAACCAUGAUUAGUUUAUACACUCUGCAGAGGUUUGCGCACUUUUCCCCACAAGACUCGAUCUCCUCCGUUAGAUUUCUUGCACUACAUGAUGUUUGAGAAACGGAUGAUCGAGACAUAGUCUUUCAGAAGCACUAGCACCUUACAUGUGGGUAGACCGGUACACCUACUUUCCCCUACAUCUGCUAGUCUACCCGUAAGAGUUCGCACAACUUAAUCAACUAUGCCAGAGCCCAUACUGGCUUGUGGCUGCACACGGAAGUUUCUAGUUUGAAUAAUCUCAUGAACCCUUUGAGCCUGGGUGGUGGUCCGAAGAAAUACAGGCAAGUCCUGAUAGAAACCAGGUGCCUCAAUCCACCCAGAUGUGUGUUUAAGUUGCCACCUUAAAUAAACCAUUAAUUAUCAAAGUCACAUCUGUCAUGCAUACACUCACCCAAUCCACGUCUACUAGCAUAGCAUGGCAUAAAAAGCAAACAUAGAAGUAACUCCCAAGGGUUUGAUAAUAAAACAGGUAAUAGGUACUACCUCAAUCUACUUCCCAAGACCCUCAAUUUAGUUAGAUCCUAAUCAUGCAAUGUUUGAGGAUAGAUCUAAUGCAUAAAAACUGGGUAGUAGAAAAGGUAUGGUCAAAGUGUUACUUGCCUGCAAUGUUGAUGAAGAUGAUUCGCACUCAAAACUCUUGAUAGUUCUACUCGUCACACUCCGGUCAAUCUAUCGGGAGCAAGCAAUAGUAACCACACAUAAGCAAUCACUCAAAGGUUCAGAGAGAAGGAAGAGAACAACUCGGAAAACAUCAAAACCAAGCAAAUAACUCUUGCAGGAUAAAGUAAUUUCUAACAUUACCAAAAUUAUGUGAAUUUGGCCUUAUCAGAAAUUUUAGGUCAAGGGCUUUGAUUUGCAAAAAGAAUCAACUCAAACAGAGUUAUAAAACUCAAGUUAUGAUCAAACGAAGUUCAAAUGCUAAACUGUUUGAAAUUCAAAUUUUAAACUUUCGAAAACAUGUUUAAGUUGUUUUACUGGAUAGAGGGGAUCAUAACAAAGAAGUGGGCGUUGGUUUCGUUGGAUUCCGACUAUCGAGUGAAAAGUAGUGAUUGAUUUAAGAACAGGGACUAAUCUGUAAAUAAAAUAUUCACAGUCGGAUCCCUGGCCAAAAUAAACAGAAAUCAGAAAGGCUAAAUAACGAACGUUCAUUUAUAAGAUCUAAACAGUGGUCGUUCGCUGUUUACUAAAACCUAAAAAAAUAGAUCUAGUCUAGGGUUUAAGAAAAACCGAUCUUAAAAGAAAAACCGAAUCAGACCGGGGUCAGUUUUAUACCGGUUGGCAGCGGUUUUCGACGAAGAAUCGACGACGGCGGUUACUCCAGCGAAAGGAGACGGCGGCGGCGGCUUGGGUCCGACCGGGGCGGCAGCUCCGGUGGCCCUUCGGCUCGGCAGAGUGAACGGGGGGAUGCGGCGCGGGACGGCGGUGAGGUGGGUGGUAGCUGCGGCGGUGGUGCAGCGCAGCGGCGGCGGCAGUUGGCAUCGGCGGCGGCGGCUACCAAUGGCGGCGGCGGCGGAUCUGGCGAGGGGCGGCGGCGGCGGCGAAAACGGGACGCACGGGCCCCUGGGGUGGCCUUUUAUGGAGGAGGGGAGGCGCGGUGGCAUGGGGAAGGGGCGGCAGGUGGCGGGGCAGCGCCGAACUCCGGGAGGAGUCCCAGUCGGCGACGACGGGCGAGGCAGCGCGGAGCUGGGCCUUGGCCUAGCUUCGGCUGGGCCGGCCCAGUUCGACGGAAGAAGUUUUUUUUAAACAAAUUUUCAGAAAAUAAAAUAAACCAAAAAUAAAUAAAAAUAUACUAUAGGCAUAUAAUAUAUCAAAUUUUUCAGAAAAAGAUUUCCUACAGCGUGAACAUUAUUAUAUCUUUAAAUAAAAUCUACAAAAAUUCAAAUAAUUCAAACAGUGCUACUGUUCUAAUAAAAUCCAAUAAAAUCAUUUUAAAAAAAUACCAAAUUUAGUUCAAAUUUAUUUCUCUCCAAUUUUCUGAUGUAGGGAAUCAUGUUACCCUAUUUUCCAUAUAUUUUAUUUUUGGAGAAAACUAAUUUGAAUAAAACUCAAAUAACUCCAAAGUGAAAAUAAAUUCAAAAGAACUUUGAAUUUAAUUCUUUGAAACUCCCAACUCAUAUUUCAUAUGUUUUGAAGAAGUCAUUUUAUCUUCGCUCGUGAAAAUCAUUGAGCUGCAUAAAGUUCCUGGGUUGGAAAUAUUUUCCAAAUGAAAUUCAAAUAUUUUCAACACCCCUUGUCAUUUAAAUAAAUGGAAGAAGUCAUGUCAUCUUCUCUACAGGGUUUUGUGGUGAAAAGAAUUUGAAUUCAUGAAGAUCAAAAAAAAGAAAAUGAAAGUUUGGGAAAGUCCUUUUGUUCUCUCUCAUUUAACUUUCAAAAAGUUUCGAAUUCACUCACUUUCAGUCUAUCAAUCAAAUAAUCAAUCAAAACUAUCUAUUUGUUUAUAACAUUCCAUAAUUUAGAAUUUUGGGAUGUUACACUUAGCCAGGGUUUGGUAGCUUAUGCCCCCUACUUUGCAACAUAGAGCAGAAAUGGUUGAAACGGCUCCCAUUGUGUGUGGGAAUUCUUUCAAAUGUGCAUGGCCUGGCGACUGACAGGAUGCCCCUGUGAGUGCUAUUCCAUGUGCUGGAAAACCUCUUUGGCACAUCUUUCGUGAUCUAGUUAACAGUAGUUUAGUGACUCAUGUCUUCCAGGGCUUAGACCUGCUUAUUAUACUAGAAACAAUGGAAUACCUAAAGUUGGAUAUAGGUGAGGUGGGACUUAAGAAUGCCUUGUCUGGAACAUCUCUUCAAAGCAAGAAUUAGCAUAUAGAAAGGAAGCAGCAUUUCCUUUCAGCUGCUUUUAAAAAGUCCCCGGGGAUAUAGCCCACUUCUCAUUUCUCAACACCAGCUUCUCUUCUCUUUUCUUAAGUAUAAGAGGGAUAGGUACUUAUUCCUGGCCGGUGGUAUCAUUGCCGCUCCCAUCCUCAACUCCAAUCUCUGAACUAUUUAGAGGUAAGUAAAAUCUCGCCAUGCCAUGGGGUGAUUUAUUUUUUCAUUCAACCUUUUAAAUAUAUCUGUUAUUAAUAAAAAACACUCCGUAGAGAAGUGAUAACCUUUGCACAAGUGAAAGAAGCCCACAUACCCACUCUCCUUUCCCUCUAACCAGAAGCAAUAAAACCAAAGCUACCUGGCGUGGAGGCCUGGAAUUCACUAUUGGAUUAAUGAAUCCUACACUACGAUCGAUAAAAAAUAAAAAUAAAAAGGUAAACAUCUUAUUUGUUCUUUAUUCUCACAUUUCUUUUUUUAUAUUGGGGAUUGGGCAGAUUUAUGGGAAGAGUUUGCUUACUUGAUCUAUAAUUAGCAUCCAGAGCUGGCUAUGGGGGUUAUCCAGCUCCUAGGGCUUUUUCCAUCUUUUGAUUUUUUUCAGUCGUUGACUGAGAUUGAUAGCAUCAAGAUCCCAUUCUAAGAUGGAAUGGAUGCAGUCAGUUUGGUCCUCAGUGGACCCCGGAAGCUGCAGAUGGAAAACUUGGGCCUUCUCCACUACCUGGGAAGCCAGUGUAUCCACUUCGCCCCUUAUCUUAUUGAUAGAUUUCUCCAUGGCACGGAGAAUUCUUUCGUCUGGAUCGCCAGUCAUCCAAUCCGAGGGAUCCACUGCUGUAGCCGUCGAAUAGGAAAAAAGUAAGGUAAUAAUAACUAAUCCUACUGCAAAGGCCCCACCUGGAAUGAAGGUAUUUGCUACGGCCUUCACAAUCCAAACAAGAAACGAUUUGAGUAGUAAGCGGCAUCCCCUCUGAGUUGUGAGUAAGCGGAGCCAUUCUUUUUUUGUUCUUCUCCAGAUUCUGGCCGGAGGGCUUUGUACCAACCAUUCUAGUGUGGUUGGAUUCUGUUCAACAGCCCAAGGACUUUCCGCACAUUUUUGGUUCUUUCCACUGCUUGAAGUGAUUGCGACAACUACGAAGAAACGACGAAUCCCAACUACGGAUAUAUAAGAACCGAAACUGCUCAGAGCAUUCCAUCCGGCGUAAGCAUCUGGAUAAUCUGGAAUGCGAUGUGGCAUACCCAAAAGCCCUAAGAAAUGCAUGGGAAAGAAGGUCAGAUUAACCCCGAAAAAAGUGAUCCAAAAAUGGAUUUGGCCUAAAGUUUCAAGAUAUGUCCGACCAAAGAUUUUACCCACCCAAUAGUAAAUUCCAGCAAAUAAAGCAAAAACGGCUCCCAUAGAAAGUACAUAAUGGAAAUGUGCAACCACAUAAUAAGUAUCAUGUAGAGCAAUGUCUAGCCUAGAGUUUGCUAGAACUAUUCUAGUGAUCCCGCCUAUGGUGAACAAAAAGAUGAACCCUACAACAAAUAACAUGGGUGUUUUGUAUUGUAUCGAACCUCCCCACAUAGUAGCGAUCCAACUAAAGAUUUUGAUUCCUGUGGGCACAGCUAUGAUCAUGGUAGCUGCGGUGAAGUAGGCACGCAUAUCAACGUCUAAGCCCACAGUAAACAUAUGAUGAGCCCAAACUAGAAAUCCAAGAACACCUAUACUUAUCAUGGCAUAAACCAUGCCUAGAUACUCGAAGACCGGUUUUCUUGAAAAGGUCGAUACGAUAUGACUAAUAAUACCAAAUCCAGGCAGAAUGAGAAUAUACACCUCUGGAUGACCGAAGAACCAAAAGAGAUGCUGGUAUAAUAUUGGGUCUCCCCCUCCUGCAGGAUCAAAAAAGGUUGUAUUAAAGUUUCGAUCGGUUAAUAACAUUGUAAUUGCCCCCGCCAGUACCGGAAGUGAUAAUAAAAGUAGGAAUGUUGUCACUAGAACGGACCACACAAAAAGUGGUAAUCUAUGCAUAGUCAUUCCAGGUCCACGCAUGUUGAAGAUAGUUGUUAUAAAAUUGAUAGAACCUAAAAUUGAUGAAAUACCUGAUAGAUGAAGACUAAAAAGUGCUAAAUCAACUGCUCCUCCAGAAUGGCUGGUAAUACCACUUAAGGGCAGAUAGACUGUCCACCCAGUGCCGCUGCCCACUUCUACUAAGGCUGAGCUUAAUAGGAGCAAGAGACUUGGUGGCAACAACCAGAAUGAUAUAUUAUUUAAUCGUGGAAAUGCCAUGUCAGGUGCACCUAUCAGAAUCGGAACAAACCAAUUACCAAAUCCACCUAUCAUCGCCGGCAUAACCAUAAAAAAGAUCAUUAAAAAAGCGUGAGCCGUUAUUAAAACAUUAUAAAGUUGAUGAUUCCCACCAAGAAUUUGAUCGCCGGGUCGGACUAAUUCCAUACGAAUUAGUACGGAGAAGCAUGUGCCCAUCACUCCUGCAAUGGCACCGAAGAUGAAAUAGAGAGUCCCAAUAUCCUUGUGGUUAGUAGAGAAGAGCCAUCGAACCAUAUUUGUCAUUAUUAAUUUUAGAAAUGAAAACUUUCCUUAUCAAAGAGGGGCCGGGGGCUGGAAGAGAAAAGAAUCAGAAUUACUGAGCUACCCCGCUCUUUUUUUUUCUAAUUCCCUUCUAAGAUCCUCUGACUUAAACAAGUCGAGAGCAUGCUCGUGCUCAGCUCUUUCGAGACUUGCCUUGCUCUUGGGGAUUUCUUCCCACCGGAUCCUCUGUUCCACUUCCAGGCACCUCCUUGCGGAGCUUUCCGCCUUAAGGAGAUCCCGUUUGUGGGAAACAACAUUUCGAAAGAAAACGGAUCCUCCCUCAUUCUCCCGCAGAUCUUGAUAAGACGCUUGGAGAACAGUGAAAGAAUCAGUUGCGUGAAUGUGGUCCAGAUAGGAACGAAGCGCUUCAUCGACCAAGUAGGGCUCGAUCGGUAGAUAAGGCCCUACUCUUUGAUAAAGCACCACAAAUUCCUGAAUGACAUCUUGUCGCAUAGAAGAGAGCUUUUCUUCCAUUAGGAAGAGCUUAAGCCGCCCAGGUAUGUCUUCCAGGGGGGUAUUGUGAUUAAGCUCGUUUUGAAUGAACGUAACCCAUCCCGGAUCUUGCUCGUAAAGACUCGGAUAGAAGUUUAGCCCUGCUAAAUGAGAUAGAGCCUGGGGGUCUUGAAUCUCCGGCGGGAGAGUGAUCAGAAAGGAGGUAUUAAUCGAUAGCAAUCCAAAUCUAUUACUAUCGUCACAGAAGUAGUUUGCUUCUAACGAAACUACUUUGUUCAAUAAUCAAAUGAAGUGGCCUUUACAUCAAUAAAGUCAUAUUAAGGUAAAUAAUUAUACAGCAAAAUAAUCAUAUCUUUGUUCAAGAAAUAAAGAUAUUCAUUAUUUCUGACUAAACCUGAACUUUGCAGAGCUAAUCCUGAAGAAAUAGCGUGCCUUAAAUAUAUUAUAAUUGGAACUCUACAAAUCGUCACAGAAGGAGGACUUUCACAGAAAAACAAAAGUUGUAUGCCAAAAAGAGCCAAUGUGAAUUUAGGUUCAAAAGGAUCAAUAGCACAUGACCAAGUUCAAGUGUCUUCUCUUCAAGAGAAUAGAGCAUAAUUGUAGGAUUAUAUGGAUAUCAGUGCUUUUAUUCAAUUCUCGAGGCACUCUUCAACGAUUGAGGAGAUUCCCGAGGCAGUCUUAGUGCUAUCGUCAGGGUCACCAGCCUACUGUACCCCUUAUUCUGGCUUAGCCUUGCUUAAACAGAAGAGGCUUGGUUAGCAUCCUUUCUAUCAGGUGCUAUUCUUUGCUACCAACAAUUCUUUAAGUACGCGGUGAAGUAAAUAAUAGUGCACUUGCUGAUAGUAGAACCCCCAAGAAAUCUCACAGUAUAGGCCGAUAUCUUUGUGCAAUGUCAUUUACGGGUGGUUAGGCAAAUAAACACAAAGGAAUUGAUCGAUUCUCUUAGUUGAUGUGCUUUCUUCCAAACCCUUGACUCGAAGAUAGUCAAUACUACCUUGCUAUUUAUAGAAUUCCUCCACUAGGUCGGAGAAUAUAUUACUUUCUUUACCGACAUGCAGGUGGAAUAAGACCAGCAUUAUGAACUACUCAUCACUGAAUGUUACGUACUGCCAUUCCAACUAGCCAACUAGCUAUUAACUAUUAAGGGGAAUUCCUCCCAAAGGUUGGAAACUCUAUUUAUUUAUGGGACUGAACUUAUUGAUACAGUCAGAUUUAGGAAAAAAGUGCAUGCAUGUUUCACAUACCCACUCGCUGAAAAGAGGUCAGAUCAGCAAAAACACAGGACCCAGAAAUUGCAUAUAGCAGCGAUCGAGACCACCCGCUGGGAAUCUCGGCAACCCACAUUUGAGGAAACUGCUACUUCAAGAUAGGUUGGUCUUGAUUGAAGGCAUGUUUCAGAAGUUAGCCAUCACCCACAAAGCUGUUCGCACUCCAGAACAAUCAAGAACCAACAAUGCACAGGAAGAGGCGAUCUUCCUAUCCUAGCACGAUACUGGGAUCUGAUAAGCGUAAUUUGGAGCGGCUGCAAAGGGUGCAAUACUACUUGGCCUGGAGGGGACUAGGAUAAAUUGUUCCAAGUACCAAAAGCCCUAAGGCUGCAAACGAUUACCCAUAACGACCGAUAUAGAUUCGGCUCGAGGUGCUACUGAACCCUGAAUCCAAAGAUUGAUCACCUAACCAAUUCAAGGUCACAAGAUAAGAAAGGAUGGUGCUCCUCUAACCCUGUAUUUGAGUGACUGUUACGCAACAUUGGUGAUCAGUUAAUGGCAAACGAAAAGCUAUUCAGGUAGACAAUAGUCUGGCUCGAGUGGCUAGGUAUGUCCUAGUCACGCCCUACCUAGGGUUGAGGAACACGUGUUUGUCCAAUUUCGACAAAACUAAGAGGAUGUUACGAUCCCGCUAUAAAAAGAAUUUGAAUGCCCCGUCCAUGUGCGGGCCCGUCGAGCUAUAAGUGAGGGAUCUUAUUUAAAGGAGGGAUGACGAAAAGUCACGUCUCAGAACAGAAGGGGUAGAAAAUGUGGGGAACCGAGAACCACCUGCUCUCUAAGAAACCCAUGGAAAGUCAAGAAGUGAACGGAUGCAAAACCGCUUUACUAAAGAAAGUGGGUUCACUAAGAGGGGAGAGAAAAAGGCGGGCGACAAGAAGGCGGUCGCAGGCAGUAAGUAGAUGGACGGCUCUUCGACAGGAGGUAGUAAAAUUGCCAAACCUAAGAAGACCAUUUCUUUGCUAUCGCUCUAGCCCUACCGGGAGGGGGCUUAGCCGGGUCCAACAAACCUUAUGAGUGGGUCCCACGCACUCAGUCAAAGAGCACCCGACGAAACGUAAGAUGGCUCCAUACUGGGUGGUAAAACACAAAUGGUAUGGGAAAUUGUUCAGUUGCCACUGGAACCAAAAACCACUGGUUAAGUGGAUCAAUCCAAAAGGAUUGAAUCAACUUAUUUAUUCUCAAUAGCUCAGCUCAAGGGGAACACCCUCGAAGUAUGAGGGAAAAGACCAAUUGAUAAAGCGCACAAUGCUAAAUUCAAAAAUUGGUUGGUACUUUUCCAGGAAAAGAACUACUCAUCCCUCUAAAGCCGAAGGAAAGACAGCGGACUAACGCAUCAACCUUUCCAGAAGCCCAGGAGAUAAGGAGUUAGCUCUAUGCAUUCCUUUAUUGAAGGUAAAGAAACUAAACAGUUUUUCAUACCACCCGGGAGGUGAAUCGGAGUGAGGAGGCCCUCGGGGGGGGGGGGGGCUUACUUAGAUUGUUAGGUAUAGUAAUAUAGGCAUGAGGCAGGCCCUACCCAAUGAGCGACCUCGUAGCAAGCAUACAACCAAAGGAGACCCUGCUACAAGAAGGCCCUAUUCCAAAGGUGGGAAACCAGGUAAUACAGCACGACAUCAGUGUGGUCAAGCCGGUAAUCGAACAGAUUCGGGAUCUU